GUUGUCUUAGUUCAAUGGUUAGAACAACAACAUUCUUCUAAAGUGUCAAUUUUGGUUUGAAUCCGAAAGGGAAUA